GCUUUUUAAACCAGAACCUGUUCAGGACUCUGGAUUAUUCCUGACAGUCCUAACAGGUGGGCAACGACAGAGAUGAAUCCAGCUCACUGGGGCAAACAGUCACAUCCUUUGACCUACAUUCCUACACUCUCAUUUAGUCAUUAACAUUUGUUUUAAAAAAGAGACAGAUUUUCAUUUUUUCAUGAUGGCCUAGAUUUCCUUGACUAUGGUGGUAACAUGGUACUAUGAUAAAGAUGGUAAUAAUGUGGUACCGUAUGAUUCACAUACACCACACAAUUUACAUGACAUUUCAAAGCAUGUCAAAGAAUACCAUGGUAUAUGGUAUGAAUAUAUAUAUAUACAUUUAAAAUUAAAAUGUAAAAUUUAAAUUUAAAAUUAAAGGGGUCAUAAUAUGUCAGUUUGGAAAGUGAGCUGUCAAACUGCUGCACGCGCCUUUGACACCCCAAAAAAAAUGCAGUUUAGAUAUCUCCGUAUGUUUUGACACAUACCUCUUCUUACACGAAUGGAAACCGGGCUAUAACGGUGAGAGGAGUUUAUAUAUAACGGGCGCUGGAAAUGGAAUGUGAAAGCAUUUCCUCCGCUACAAUGUAUAAAGUUCAAAUGUAUCCAGCUCAAAUGUAUCCAGCACAAACUCUGCGCGGAUACACUGUAAACACUCUCGGCUCGCUUCGGAAUUCCACACCAAGGUGUCGAUUUUAGCCGAAUUACAACAACACCAUAAAAGAGCUCCGAAACAUCAAGGCCCUUACCUGUCGUUACCCUCCACACUUCAGUUUGCAAACACUACCGUUCCCGAGUUCGCCCUUCUGCAAACCGAACGUCUGUCCUACCGAAACCCAAUCCGAUCGGGUCCAAAUCCAGCUCAGCACCGAAAAUCUACCGCAACAGCAGAGCGAUACUGCGACCGAACACCCAUGUUAUUUAUCUCCCUUCCUCUGAAACCCCAAGCGCCACUGCGAUCUUCGGAUCAAAGCGGGUUUUAGUGGUUUUUAAACACCGGAAUUCCCAUUUCUGUUGCCGAUGUGACUGGCUCUAAUGGCGGCGGCACAAGAGCGGGGGGUAAACCAAAAUAAACCUACUCCGGAGAUACUGGUAGGAGGGAUA
ensembl:lncRNA